GCGUGCCCCAUAAAAGCUUUUGCCCCACCCCGGGAAAUUGCCUAGGAUGCCCAGUAGAGCCCUGCAUUCAGUAACCAUCAGUCUAUCUGCCAGAAAAAUAACCGGGCCGUUUGAUUUCAGGAGGACAGCAAAUGAAAAGCAGGCGUGAUAUUUUCACGUUACCGCCGAACAAACCCAGAGCAGCAGACCAACCUGUAACUGAAACCCAGGACGCCGUCACGCAGUCGUGUGCCUAGGAGACCCUCGUCUGGGUCUCCGGGAGGGACGCUUACUGUCACGCUGGCUCCUGGCAUCCCCCUGUGCCGCACAGGGGCGUUACCAAGAAAUCAAUUUUUUUCAUGCUCAAUUCAUAUAUCUACUCAAAAUUUCUCUGACAUGCAACGAUUUUGAAUAACACAGACUUUACACUGUACCUGUAUGGAGAGUAUAUGUGCACGGCGGAAGUGGAUCUUCUAAGAGGUGGAAGUGUAUGAGUUUUGGGCCUCAGGAACGUCCCUCUUAAGGCACCAGCAGAACUCAGCAGGCAUACAGAGUCUCCACUGGCCUCGAUGUCGUUGUUCUGUAUCAGAGAGAGAGAGCAGGAUCCAUCUCGACAUGCCCAAAGGCGUUACAGCCCGAAAACUCUGGCAAAACAGACUUAACUGUACUUUAUGCCCUUAUGUCUUAAAAAAGAAAUAAAAUCCAUCCCUCCUU